UUAGCAUGGAAUAAUGGAAUAGGACGUUAUGGUUCUAUUUUGUUGGUUUCUAGGACCAUCGUAAUGAUUAAUAGGGACGGUCGGGGGCAUCAGUAUUCAGUUGUCAGAGGUGGAAUUCUUGGAUUAACUGAAGACUAACUACUGCGAAAGCAUUUGCCAAGGACGUUUUCAUUAAUCAAGAACGAAAGUUAGGGGAUCGAAGAUGAUCAGAUACCGUCGUAGUCUUAACCAUAAACUAUGCCGACUAGGGAUCGGGUGGCGCUUCUUGCCCACUCGGCACCUUACGAGAAAUCAAAGUCUUUGGGUUCUGGGGGGAGUAUGGUUGCAAGGCUGAAACUUAAAGGAAUUGACGGAAGGGCACCACCAGGAGUGGAGCCUGCGGCUUAAUUUGACUCAACACGGGGAAACUCACCAGGUCCAGACGUAAUAAGGAUUGACAAGCUAGAGACUUCUCUUGAUCUUACGGGUGGUGGUGCAUGGCCGUUUUUAGUCCUUGGAGUGAUUUGUCUGCUUAAUUGCGAUAACGGACGAGACCUUAACCUGCUAAAUAGGGCUGCGAGCAUCUGCUCGUGGGCUCUUCUUAGAGGGACUAUGGGUUUCAAACCCAUGGAAGUUUGAGGCAACAACAGGUCUGUGAUGCCCUUAGACGUUCUGGGCCGCACGCGCGCUACACUGACGGAGCCAGCAAGUAUAUCCUUGGUCGAGAGGCCCGGGUAAUCUCGUGAAACUCCGUCGUGCUGGGGAUAGAGCAUUGCAAU
rnacentral:rRNA from 1 species